AAUCAACGCUGGCGGCGUGCCUCAGACAUGCAAGUCGAACGAUUAAGACUCCCUUCGGGGAGUGUAUAAAGUGGCGCACGGGUGAGUAACACGUAAGUAAUCUACCUUCGAGUGGGGAAUAACGUCCGGAAACGGACGCUAAUACCGCAUAAUGCAGCGGCAUCUAAUGAUGACAGUUGUUAAAGAUUUAUCGCUUGAAGAGGAGCUUGCGGCAGAUUAGCUAGUUGGUAAGGUAAUGGCUUACCAAGGCUACGAUCUGUAACCGGUCUAAGAGGACGGUCGGUCACACUGACACUGAAUAACGGGUCAGACUCCUACGGGAGGCAGCAGUCGGGAAUUUUGGGCAAUGGGCGAAAGCCUGACCCAGCAACGCCGCGUGAAGGAUGAAGUAUUUCGGUAUGUAAACUUCGAAAGAAUGGGAAGAAUAAAUGACGGUACCAUUUAUAAGCUCCGGCUAACUACGUGCCAGCAGCCGCCGUAA
rnacentral:rRNA from 1 species